rnacentral:rRNA from 1 species
UAAGCGGGAAGCCCCCCUCAAGAUAAGGUCUCUCUGGAUCCUUAGAGAUCCCUGAAGGGUCGUUGAAGACUACAACGUUGAUAGGCGGGGUGUGUAAGUGCAGUAAUGCAUUAAGCUAACCCGUACUAAUAGCCCGUGAGGCUUGAUCAUAUAACACCCAAGAAG